GGAAUAUUGCACAAUGGGCGCAAGCCUGAUGCAGCCAUGCCGCGUGAGUGAAGAAGGCCUUAGGGUUGUAAAGCUCUUUCGCCGGGGAAGAUAAUGACGGUAGCCGGAGAAGAAGCCCCGGCUAACUCCGUGCCAGCAGCCGCGGUAAUACGGAGGGGGCUAGCGUUGUUCGGAAUUACUGGGCGUAAAGCGCAUGUAGGCGGAUUGUUAAGUCAGGGGUGAAAUCCCGAGGCUCAACCUCGGAACUGCCUUUGAUACUGGCAAUCUCGAGUCCGGGAGAGGUGAGUGGAAUUCCUAGUGUAGAGGUGAAAUUCGUAGAUAUUAGGAAGAACACCAGUGGCGAAGGCGGCUCACUGGCCCGGUACUGACGCUGAGGUGCGACAGCGUGGGGAGCAAAC
rnacentral:rRNA from 1 species